AACGAACGCUGGCGGCAUGCCUAACACAUGCAAGUCGAACGAGACCUUCGGGUCUAGUGGCGCACGGGUGCGUAACGCGUGGGAACCUGCCCUUAGGUUCGGAAUAACUCCCCGAAAGGGGUGCUAAUACCGGAUAAUGUCUUCGGACCAAAGAUUUAUCGCCUUUGGAUGGGCCCGCGUUGGAUUAGCUAGUUGGUAGGGUAAAAGCCUACCAAGGCGACGAUCCAUAGCUGGUCUGAGAGAAUGAUCAGCCACACUGGGACUGAGACACGGCCCAGAAUCCUACGGGAGGCGGCAGUGGGGAAUAUUGGAAAAUGGGCGAAAGCAUGAACCAGCAAUGCCGGGUGAGUGAUGAAGGCAUUAGGGUUGUAAAGCUCUUUUACCCGGGAUGAUAAUGACAGUACCGGGAGAAUAAGCUCCGGCUAACUCCGUG
rnacentral:rRNA from 1 species